GUGGGUGUAGCUCAGCUGGCAGAGCACUGGGUUGUGAUCCCAGGUGUCGCGGGUUCAAGUCCCGUCACUCACC
rfam:Lechevalieria aerocolonigenes strain NRRL B-16140 contig140.2, whole genome shotgun sequence.